AUCUCGAAAAAACACGCGUAUGUUUAGGAUAUGAUCCGUAUUAUCUUGGUAAAAAGAAGACUUAUAAUCUUGAGGAUUUACCCGGUAUCUAGGCGAUUAACGUAACUAACUGGAGCUGCAGACCUCAUAUUACACAACGAGCCAGAAGAAAGCUUUCAAAAGCCCGGAGAAUACAAUCAUUUAGUUUCAAGUUGGCUCAAGCAUUUAGGAUCAAAAGAAGCAUUAGAUGGCUGUCGACUUGUUUCUGCCAGACUUCAGGUAAACCCUAAAGGACAGUGUUCACCAGUUGGUGUUUUAUCUCUGAAAAAGCAUCUCGUUGUGAAAAGCAAAAAUGGCACCGGGAUAUCUUUCUAUUCCAUGGAUGGUUGCAUGAUGUCAGAUGGAUGGGUUCAUGGAAGAAUGACAGGCAGCUGGACGGGUGAAUCGACUGACACAAGGAUUGAUGGAUUAAUGAAUGGAUUCAUGAAGGAUAGGUAAGUGGAUGGAUGGAUGGAAGUAACUUUAAGGUGGAAAUGUCAUGAAAACAGAACUGUGCACUACAUGCUCCUUUUUCUUUAUGCUUUCUCAGACUGUCUAAUUGUAAUCAGGACGUUAGUCAAACUUGUCCCUACUCAUGCUCUUUGCAUUAAAUGUAAAUACCUGCUAUAGAGAUACAUGAAAAACUGCUUCUGUAAUAAAAAGAACAAAAAGCACGAGUAAAAGUCAAAUAAGUAGUAGUAAUUUUACAAGUUGAAUAUUUUUAGCUAAUUGCAAAGAUCAGUAGACUCUCAUGUUAAACUGCAACUUGGCUAAUAAAGAUGUGUGUAUACUAUAAUUCAGACAUCAGACUGAUAGCUUGGCAGCAUGAGGUGCCCAACGAGCCA